CCUGAAGCCUGGCCUGUUGGUCCCGCCGAGGCUGCCAGUGGCACCCCAAGGCACUCUGGGCAGAGGUUCCACUGCUCGCAGCCCAGCAGGCAAACGCUAGAACUCGCUAGCUCCUUUAUCGUUUCAAGAUGCGAAUGAAGCGUCCUCCUGUGGGGCUUGGGAGAUGGCUUCCAUGGCAACUGCCACAGAGGUGACAGGUCCGAGAAGCGUGGGAGAAUUCGCUUCCUGAGGUUAAACCAAGGACAGCUAGAAGACCGGAGGAAGUGAAAGAUCCAUCUCCCCUCCCCCGCCCUCGGAGCGCUUGUUCCGAGGAUGGUUCUUUGUACUGCCUGUGCUGUUAACAUGCUGACUUGUUUUUCUAUCCCAUCCUUUCCUGUCUUCAGUUUGUCUUUCUUCCCCUUUGGCACCUUGAAUUUGCGUAUCACCAAAAUUGUUAGCAUGCAAUCUCUGUAUGGGGUUCUCUUUUCUAGGAGACAUGACUGACUUACGAUGUUCAUCAUUCAGAGGUAACUGAUGGAUUUGAGGAUUUGGAUUUUCUAAUGCAGGGAGACCAGUAUUGAGUAAGAUCUGUGCCUAUGGAAGUAUAUGCUAGUGGAAUCACAUGAUCCUAGGGUUGGAAGUUGCCUUGGGUUUUCCACAGUGACGGCAGCCAAAACGAGAUUAUGGAUCAGUCUAAACAUAAGCAGCACACUUCGGGUGUCACUGUCCUUCAUCACCCUCAGAUGGGAUCAUUGAGUAGCAGGAAAUCAAGCUCGAGACUCCCACUGAUUCUGCAUUGUGUGAGGUGUGCAGUUAUUUCAUAAUCUAUUACAACAUAAUAAAAAUACAAAUAAAGCCUACAAUAAAUAUAAUGUACUUGAAUCAUUCUCCAUUAAUGGAAAAGUUGUCUUCCAUGAAACCAGUCCCUGGUGCCAAAAAAUUUGAAGAUUUCUGGCCUAAAAUAUAAUCUACCCUGGAGAAUGUUCCAUGUGCACUUGAGAAAAAUGCUGGGGAGAAUGUUGCAUGUGUGUAUGUCUGACUAUUAUGUCCAUUUAAUCUAUAGCAUUCACGUCUACUGUCUGUUGAUUUUCUGUCUGGAUAGUCUAUCCAUUGUUGAAAGUGGUUAUAAUGAAGGUUACUAUUACUGUAUUCCUAUUUCUCAUUCAGUUCUGCUCCUAUUUGCAGUAUAUAUUCAGCAGUUCUGAUGUUAGAUGCAUAGAUAUUUACAGCUGCUAUAUCCUGUCAAGGAACUGAUCCCUGUGUCAGUACCUAAGAACUUUCUUUUCCUCUUGCGACAGUGUUUGGCAAAAGGCUAUUUAAUCUGACAUAAGUAUAGCCACCUCUGCUUUCUUCAGGUUACAUUUGCAUGAAAUAUCUUUUUCAUCUCUUCACUUUAUACUACUUGUGUCUUUAAUGCUAAAGUGAGUCCCUUUGGGGCAGAGUAUAGUUGAGUGUUUUUAAAAAAUAUAUUGUACGUUGUAUUUUAAAAUGCACUUAAAAUACAUUAUAAAAUACCAGAAUUCAUUCUGUUUCUUUUGAUCAAAGGUUUUAAUAAAGUUAUAUUUAAAAUAAUUAUUGACAUGUAAGAAUUUACUACUGUAAUUUUGUUAACUAUGUUUUUACUAUUUUGUAGUGUCUUUGUUCCCCAGUUUCUGUAUUGUUCUUCAUUCUUUUGUGAUUUGAAUACUUUUUGUAGUUCUACAAUUUGAUUUCUUUAUCAUUGUUUGAAGUAUCUGCUACAAGGUUUUUUCUUUGUGCUUACAAUGAAGCUUACGUAAAGCAUCUUAAAACAGGCAAUUUUAAGCUGAUAAGUUUAAUUACAUACAGAAACUACACAUUAACUUCUUUUGCUCAACAUUUUAUGUUCUUGUUGUCACAAAUACUUGUGUAUCCAUUAACAAAUUAUUACAGUUAUUUUUAGUACUUUUGUGUUUUAACUUUGUACUGGCGUUAAAAGCGAUAUUUACACAAUUGUGGUAGUAUUAGAAAAU
ensembl:lncRNA